rnacentral:misc_RNA from 1 species
GAAAUGCGAUACGUAAUGUGAAUUGCAGAAUUCCGUGAAUCAUCGAAUCCUCGAACGCAUAUUGCGCUUCCGGGUAUUCCUGGAAGCACGCCUGUUUGAGUAUCAGUGUUAAAUCUCAAACAAAUUAUAUUUUUAAUUAAGUGUAAUAUUGUUUGGAUCUGAGUUUUUCACGACUAAACAUUGUGAGACUUUAAAUUAAGAGAAAGGCAGUUUCCGCUUAAUGAAACCAAAAGCUAGAUAAGGGUACCUUCGGGUCCUUUAAUAUCACAGCUGAUAAAGUUUCGAUGGAAAUUGAUCGCUUCAAAACACAUCUAAAUCCGGGCUUUUCAUAUCGAAAAGAAUCCGUGACUUUGAUCUCAAAUCAGGCGAGACUACCCGCUGAACUUAA